GACGAACGCUGGCGGCGUGCUUAACACAUGCAAGUCGAACGGAAAGGCCUGCUUUCCCUUGUGGAUUGCGGGUACUCGAGUGGCGAACGGGUGAGUAACACGUGAGUGAUCUGCCCCCAACUUGGGUAUAAGCCUGGGAAACUGGGUCUAAUUCCCGAUAGGACUGCAGGGUGGUGCCUGUGGUGGAAAACGAUUUUCUAGUGGUUGGGGAUGAGCUCGCGGCCUAUCAGCUUGUUGGUGGGGUAAUGGCCUACCAAGGCGGCGACGGGUAGCCGGCCUGAGAGGGUGGACGGCCACAUUGGGACUGAGAUACGGCCCAGACUCCGACGGGAGGCAGCAGUGGGGAAUAUGGCACAAUGGGCGGAAGCCUGAUGCAGCGACGCCGCGUGGGGGAUGACGGCCUUCGGGUUGUAAACUCCUUUCGACCGCGAGGAAGCCACCUGGUUGGAAGGGUGGUGACGGUAGUGGUAGAAGAAGCACCGGCUAACUACGUG
rnacentral:rRNA from 1 species